rnacentral:rRNA from 1 species
UCACCCUUGUCUUUUGCGUACUUCUUGUUUCCUUGGUGGGUUCGCCCACCACUAGGACAAACAUAAACCUUUUGUAAUUGCAAUCAGCGUCAGUAACAAAUUAAUAAUUACAACUUUCAACAACGGAUCUCUUGGUUCUGGCAUCGAUGAAGAACGCAGCGAAAUGCGAUAAGUAGUGUGAAUUGCAGAAUUCAGUGAAUCAUCGAAUCUUUGAACGCACAUUGCGCCCUUUGGUAUUCCAAAGGGCAUGCCUGUUCGAGCGUCAUUUGUACCCUCAAGCUUUGCUUGGUGUUGGGCGUCUUGUCUCUAGCUUUGCUGGAGACUCGCCUUAAAGUAAUUGGCAGCCGGCCUACUGGUUUCGGAGCGCAGCACAAGUCGCACUCUCUAUCAGCAAAGGUCUAGCAUCCAUUAAGCCUUUUUUUCAACUUUUGACCUCGGAUCAGGUAGGGAUACCCGCUGAACUUAA